UUAAUUGAAGAGUUUGAUCAUGGCUCAGAUUGAACGCUGGCGGCAGGCCUAACACAUGCAAGUCGAGCGGCAGCGACAACAUUGACCCUUCGGGUGAUUUGUUGGGCGGCGAGCGGCGGACGGGUGAGUAAUGCCUGGGAAUAUGCCCUGAUGUGGGGGAUAACCAUUGGAAACGAUGGCUAAUACCGCAUAAUCUCUUCGGAGCAAAGAGGGGGACCUUCG
rnacentral:rRNA from 1 species